rnacentral:rRNA from 1 species
UACGGAGGGUGCUAGCGUUGUUCGGAAUCACUGGGCGUAAAGGGCGUGUAGGCGGUCUGUUAAGUCUGAUGUGAAAUCCCCUCGCUCAACGAGGGAACUGCGUCGGAAACUGGCGGACUCGAGUACCGGAGAGGAAGGUGGAAUGCUUGGUGUAGAGGUGAAAUUCGUAGAUAUCAAGCGGAACACCGGUGGCGAAGGCGGCCUUCUGGACAGUGACUGACGCUGAGACGCGAAAGCGUGGGGAGCAAACAGG